AGGGUUUGAUCAUGGCUCAGAGUGAACGCUGGCGGUAGGCCUAACACAUGCAAGUCGAACGGCAGCACAGAGGAGCUUGCUCCUUGGGUGGCGAGUGGCGGACGGGUGAGGAAUACAUCGGAAUCUACUCUGUCGUGGGGGAUAACGUAGGGAAACUUACGCUAAUACCGCAUACGACCUACGGGUGAAAGCAGGGGAUCUUCGGACCUUGCGCGAUUGAAUGAGCCGAUGUCGGAUUAGCUAGUUGGCGGGGUAAAGGCCCACCAAGGCGACGAUCCGUAGCUGGUCUGAGAGGAUGAUCAGCCACACUGGAACUGAGACACGGUCCAGACUCCUACGGGAGGCAGCAGUGGGGAAUAUUGGACAAUGGGCGCAAGCCUGAUCCAGCCAUACCGCGUGGGUGAAGAAGGCCUUCGGGUUGUAAAGCCCUUUUGUUGGGAAAGAAAUCCAGCCGGCUAAUACCUGGUUGGGAUGACGGUACCCAAAGAAUAAGCACCGGCUAACUUCGUGCCAGCAGCCGCGGUAAUACGAAGGGUGCAAGCGUUACUCGGAAUUACUGGGCGUAAAGCGUGCGUAGGUGGUUAUUUAAGUCCGUUGUGAAAGCCCUGGGCUCAACCUGGGAACUGCAGUGGAUACUGGAUGACUAGAAUGUGGUAGAGGGUAGCGGAAUUCCUGGUGUAGCAGUGAAAUGCGUAGAGAUCAGGAGGAACAUCCAUGGCGAAGGCAGCUACCUGGACCAACAUUGACACUGAGGCACGAAAGCGUGGGGAGCAAACAGGAUUAG
rnacentral:rRNA from 1 species